CCUACGGGAGGCAGCAGUGGGGGAUAUUGCACAAUGGGGGGAACCCUGAUGCAGCGACGCCGCGUGGGUGAAGGAGCGUUUCGGCGCGUAAAGCCCUAUCGGCAGGGAAGAAGAUGACGGUACCUGACCAAGAAGCCCCGGCUAACUACGUGCCAGCAGCCGCGGUAAUACGUAGGGGGCAAGCGUUAUCCGGAUUUACUGGGUGUAAAGGGAGCGUAGACGGCCGUGCAAGUCUGAUGUGAAAACCCGGGGCUCAACCCCGGGACUGCAUUGGAAACUGCAUGGCUGGAGUGUCGGAGAGGCAA
rnacentral:rRNA from 1 species